AUAUGAAAUUCUCAAAAAUAAAAAGCCUAACAUUACAUUUGCAUAUUUAUUAUUUACCUCAAUCGCUCCCAGAGAAAUACAUUCUUCGGACCAGGCAUGUCAAGAUCGUGGAACUCUCUCAAUUUAGCUGCUAUAAGGGAAGAUAUUUCUGGG